UACCCCGAAACCAGACGAGCUACCUACGAGCAGUUUAAAGAACCCACUCAUCUAUGUGGCAAAAUAGUGAGAAGACUUAUAGGUAGAGGUGAAAAGCCUAACGAGCCUGGUGAUAGCUGGUUGUCCAAGAAAUGAAUCUAAGUUCAACUUGAAGCAUACCCAAAAGCCCAAAAACUAUAAUGUAGGCUUCAAGUAUAGUCUAAAAAGGUACAGCUUUUUAGAAACAGAAUUAAAUCUUAAUUAGUGAGUAAACAAUACAACAACCAUAGUUGGCCUAAAAGCAGCCAUCAAUUAAGAAAGCGUA
rnacentral:rRNA from 1 species